GAUCCUCGGCUCAGGAUGAACGCUAGCGGCAGGCUUAACACAUGCAAGUCGAGGGGCAGCACGAGGUAGCAAUACUUUGGUGGCGACCGGCGCACGGGUGCGUAACGCGUAUGCAACCUACCUUUAACAGGGGCAUAACACUGAGAAAUUGGUACUAAUUCCCCAUAACAUUCGAGAAGGCAUCUUCUUGGGUUAAAAACUCCGGUGGUUAAAGAUGGGCAUGCGUUGUAUUAGCUAGUUGGUGAGGUAACGG
rnacentral:rRNA from 1 species